UACGUAGGUGGCGAGCGUUAUCCGGAUUUACUGGGCGUAAAGCGCUUGUAGGCGGCUUCGUAAGUUGGGCGUGAAAGCUCCGGGCUUAACCCGGAGAGGCCGUCCAAUACUGCGGAGCUCGAGGGUGCCAGAGGAAGGUGGAAUUCCUGGUGUAGCGGUGAAAUGCGUAGAUAUCAGGAGGAAGACCCGUGGCGAAGGCGGCUUUCUGGGGCAUUCCUGACGCUGAGAAGCGAAAGCUAUGGGAGUGAACGGG
rnacentral:rRNA from 1 species